UACGGAGGGGGCAAGCGUUGUCCGGAUUUAUUGGGCGUAAAGCGAGCGCAGGUGGUUUAAUAAGUCUGAUGUAAAAGGCAGUGGCUCAACCAUUGUGUGCAUUGGAAACUGUUAGACUUGAGUGCAGUAGAGGAGAGUGGAAUUCCAUGUGUAGCGGUGAAAUGCGUAGAUAUAUGGAGGAACACCGGUGGCGAAAGCGGCUCUCUGGACUGUAACUGACACUGAGGCUCGAAAGCGUGGGUAGCAAACAGG
rnacentral:rRNA from 1 species